CGCUCAGAUACACGGCGUGGCUCGGUGAGAGCUCUCACUCAACCCUGUACUGCAGAGCAGAGCACUUCUGAGAGCACUACCAUUAACUAUUUCACCACCACAAGGCCAGUCUAUCAAUUAUUACCAUUCGAAUCCGUCCACGUCUUUUUUGUUUCCUUUCCUUCUUUGCACACACGAUUUCGCUCUUUAGAGGCAAACUGCUACGUUUUGUUUUGUUUUCGGUGUUAGGGAAGUAUUUGUCAAGUGCUGCUGGAGUUACUACCACCGUUUGACACUUCUUACGAUUUCUCUGGAGAGGACCGAAAAUAAAACCCUGAACUCCGAGCCCCCCCGUGUGGGAGAAGCAGAGGUGGGCGCGUCGAGACAGGAUCCCGAGCUGCCAGUGGGAUGGUAGAGGUCUGGGGGCGGGGCCAGGACUGACAGAAGGAGCAUGGUGAAGCACCAACCCCUGCAGGUCUAUGAGCGCCAGCUAUGUCUGUCAUGCCUUACCGGGAUCUACGGUUGCCGCUGGAAACGCUACCAACGUUCCCAUGACGACACAACCAAGUGGGAGCUGCUGUGGUCCCUGAUCCUUCUCUUCACUUUCUGCCUGCUGCUGUUCUGGUGCUACUUCUGGCUUGAGGCGCACAAUGACUACAAUGAGUUCAACUGGCUGCUGUACAACCGCUCGGGGGCCUGGAGCGACAGCACCGUGCCCAUCCUGGCCACCACCGCCGCCGGCUUCACCUAUAUUGCAUUUUUAAUGGUGUUGGCGCUUUGCCAUGUAGCGGUCGGACAGCAGUUAAAUCUGCAUUGGCUCCACAAGAUCGCCGUGAUUGUUGCGCUGCUGACCACCGUCGCCGGGCUAAUAGCUGUCAAUCAAGUGUGGGGGCAGGAGUGGGACGUGGUCCCCAUCUCCUUGCAGGCCACAGGUCCGUUCCUCCACAUCGGAGCUCUGGCUGCAGUCACAGCUCUCUCCUGGGUCGUAGCUGGACAGGUUGCUCGCGCAGAGAAGACAAGGGUCCAGGUGGUGGUUCUGCUGCUGUACCUCGGCGUGUUAUUGGGUCUCUACCUGGUCCCCCUCUCCAUCACCUCUCCCUGCAUCAUGGAGCGCAGCGAGCUCAAACCACGGCCAGACGUCAUCGGCCACCAGGGAGCUCCCAUGCUCGCUCCGGAGAAUACACUGAUGUCCUUCCAGCGCGCAUUGCAAAUGAACGUCACGGGGCUGGAGGCUGACGUAACCAUCAGUGUGGAUGGAGUGCCGUUCCUGAUGCGUGACCGCACGCUGCGCCGGACAACAGAUGUGGAGAAGGUGUUCCCGGACAGGCACGCGGAGGACGCCUCGUUCUUUAACUGGACGGACCUCCGCCAGCUGAACGCCGGACAGUGGUUCUUGGAGGACGACCCCUUCUGGACGGUGCACACCCUCUCCGAGGGGGAGAAGCGGGAGAUGGCCAACCAGAGCGUAUGCAGCCUGGAGCAGCUGCUGGCGCUGGCCGCGCCCCGCAACCGCACGGUGGUCUUCCGGCUGCGCCGCCCCCCCGCCGGCCACCCCUGCCACCACAGCUGGAUCAACGACACGCUGGAGGCCGUCCACUCUGCCCGAGUGCCGCUGAGCCUGGUGAUGUGGACGCCGGACGAGGACCGGGACCAAGUAAGGCGGAUGGCCCCCGAGCUGCUCCAGACGUCGCUACGGAAACAGAGCCCCCAGGCCCUCCACCAGCAGGGCGUCGGCAGGCUGCUGCUACGAUACAACCUCGCCAGCGCACAGGAUGUCCGAGAGUUCUCCCAGAGCAACGUGAGCCUGGCCCUGCACACGGUGAACGAGCCCUGGCUGUACUCGGUGCUGUGGUGCAGCGGGGUCCCGGCCGUGUCCUCCGACGCCCCCCACGUCCUCAAGAAGCUGCUCAGCCCCGUCUGGCUCCUGAGACCGGCGGAGUACUGCCUGAUCUGGGUAUCUGCAGACCUGGUCUCCUUUGCUGUAGUCGUAGGAAUCUUUAUAUUCCAGAACUAUCACAUGAUCAGGUUCAGGAUGAGCGGUAUGCGCAGCUACAACCCGGAGCAGAUCAUGUUGAAGGCAGCAGGCAGGAGGUCCAGCCAAGACGUCAACAUCAUGAAGGAGAAGCUCAUCUUCUCUGGUCCGCCCCAGUAGUCAACCUGCCUCCAUCCAUCCUACGUAUGUGAUGCCCAACCACCUCCUCUCCAUCUCUCCAGUCCAGCUGGGCCUCUUCUUCCUCCUACACUUCCUUACUCCAACCCAUUCCGUUGUCCAGUGUUUCCAUCCCCCUGCGUACUUCACAGUACACAUCCAUGCAUCUCCUUGCCUCCCACUCCACCUCCUCCUAAAUGCAACUUUCCCCAUUACCGGAGACAGAGGCGUGUGUGCGUAAGCUUUGUGACACCCCAGGGUGUCAACCCAGCUUCUUAUUCAGGGGGGAGGGGUGAGAAGAGGUCAGCAACGGCAUCGGCACCGCUGAUGAGCUGUACAUGGAGAACAGUUAUGACUACUACACCAACGAAGGCAUCACACAGUGAUUCCCAUUGGCCCACCUACAUCCACUACAAGGAAACUCCUGCCUGUAUGAAAGGGAAUAUUAGAGAUGGGGGUGGGGGGGCGGUACACAAACACAAAGUGACAAUGUAAGAUAACUUUCUUUUUCUUCCUUUCCUGAAGUCAUUUGAAUAGUUGUAAGUCUGGUCUCUUCCCUUGUGCUACUUAUUGACCUGCAGACCACUGCAUUUUCUGGGGAUGAUAUGGAAACUUCCCAUUUGCUGUGCAUACGUUGUGUAUAUAAGAUUUGUUCAUGCUCGUCUGAACUACAUAUUGUAAUGUGAGACUGUAAAGCACUUUUUAGUAUUGAAAAUAUUUAGCCAAAUCUUUGGCUUCCUUUGCUGGGUCGAGAUAUUUCAGGCGCGCCAUACGUUACCAAUGCCUGCUUCCCUAAACAUGGUUUUCUUUAGCUCUCUAUUAAUGAUUUUCUUGAAAGCGUGUUUUGGGAAAGCUGUCACUUUAUUUAACACACUGUAGUUGACAUUUUAAGUUUUAUCUGGCGACGAUAGCUUUGGUAGAGUUGUACACGAGAUGUCGACAAAGUAUGAGGCAACACAAGGAAAUGUUGCCUGAUGUUGACACACUGCUCUGCUGUGUGAUUAACACGACUAAACUUUAAUAUUUAUAUUUUGUUUUUUAAAGGACAAAAAUAUCGCCUUGCUGUUUACACGGUUCCUACCUGCUCGACCAAGUGAAAUGUUUUUCCCUGAGAGAGGGGUAUUUAAAUGAUGCCUCUAUUAUCCAUGCAUGGAUAGGGCUGACCUCACCAGGAGAUUAGUCGGAGCUGCGCUCCCUAAGAGACACUAAACGAAGUGAUGGAACAGUCUGAAGUUUGCUCUUUAUGGUGUCUUUUUAAGGUGCACGUGAAUGUGUUUGGACGUAUUUCUUUUUUUAAGAUGUGAGGGCCUACAAUGUAUUUGGUUGACUGACUGGGUGUUUGCAGUGUUGGUAUGAGUGUGUCGCUGUAUAAGUAGAUGGUAAAUUAUGCUCUGGCUAGGAGCAGCAUUUUAACGAUGUGACCAUGGUGUGUAACACACAUAGGACCAAUCGUCAUGGCCCUGUGGAAGUCAAGAUGUCCGUACUUUGCUGGAAAGACUUGUUGAGGAUUGCAGUUAACCUACAGCAUGUUGUCAACUGAAGACAUUUAUGUUUGCUGAUGAUGGCGUGAAACAAAAUGUGAGUGCUUUUGGGCAAAUGAAGUGGGGUGUUUUUAUGUGAAAAGAAAUCUGUAAGCGGUUGAAGGGACAUUGCAUAACAACCGGCUGUGCAGGGUCAAUAAAGGGAUUGCCUUUUGUGUUAUUUUCUCUCUUUGGGUAGCCUAUUACUGUGCCUCAAAGGUUAACAUUAAAAGCUCAUUUGAAACAAGA